AAUUCUCCUAUGAGGAAAACUAUAAAAUUUAGGAGUGUUUUGCUUUGAUCGAAGAGAGGUAAAGAAAACCAUGAUAAAAGCAGUGGUAGGCUGCCCCCGGUUCGCACCGGUUCUAUAGAACCAGUAGUAAAACCGGCAGCACUCCGUCCACUGACCCUGACGUCAUCAAAAUGCUUCUGCGUAUGCUCAGAUGCUUCUGUGCCCACAAAGUGAGCGCGCACACGUGCCCCUGUUACAAAUCUGUAGUAAAGUAUAUGCCCAUUAUCUGUAUGUGUGCACAAGAAACCACAGGUGAAUUGCAUAUCUUCUGCUCUGACUCACAUGAACAGGAGCGAGAAAACAGAAACAGAAAGAGAAGAGAAAGAAAAAAAAUAAGAAUAUAGUAAAGAGAAAAAACAUAUAAAAAGUGACUUCCCUCUUGAUCGUAAAAACAAUUUUAUUAAUUUAUCUCUUAAAAUACAACAAAUGAUCACUUCU